rnacentral:lncRNA from 1 species
GAUUCAGGGGGGAAACCUUCUGUUCGGAAGCCACCUCUGUGGGCGAAAGGUCCUGUGCCCGCUUACAGGGUCACAGGAUCAUCCCGCAUAGACUGGUGAUCAGAAGUGUAGACGCCUCUCCCAAAACAGCAGACUUCCAUGAACUCCCAAGGGCACCAGGGACGGUGUGCAGGCCUCUGUAGGGUCACAGGGGUGACCUCAUCCUGCCCCUGUGGUUGGUGAUGAGCUGAGAUGGAGGUAGCCCUGGGCCAGGAAGUGAAGGCCAGAACUGAAAGCAGCCGUCCACAGCACACCAGUCGGGAAGAGAGAAACCAGUGCAGAGGACCUGCUAACGUCCGUAGCUGAAAGAGUGACCUGUGUCCUCCCUAUCCUCCUGACUCGUCUUAUCUUCCUGUCUCGAGGCAUUAUGGCACUAAUCGUUCUCUGACACUAUAGG